UUAGAUACCCUAUUAUUUUAAAUUAAAAAUAUUGUACCAGGUUAGUAAUAGUUAUGUUCUUGAAAAUUAAAGAAGAUGGCGGUAUUUUAGUCUAUUCAGAGGAACCUGUCCUGUAAUUGAUGGUCCACGAUUUAUUAUACUUAUUUUUUUAGUUUACAUAUCGCUGUAGAUUGAAUAUUUUUUAAGGAGAGUAACGUUCAAGAUGUUUUUAAUGUAAAAAUAAAUCAGGUCAAGAUGUAGCUUAUAAAUAAGAAGAGAUGGGUUACAAUAAAUUAAUUUAUUAUGGAUUAAUAAAUGAAAUUUUAUUAUGAAGGUGGAUUUGAAGGUAAUUUUAUAAAAAUUUAUAAAAUGAUUUUAGCUCUAAGAUAUGUACACAUCGCCCGUCG
rnacentral:rRNA from 1 species